AUAAUACUCCCUCCGUCCCAUAUUAAGUGUCGCAACUUUGUCUAGAUACACAUGUAUAAAAAGUGUGUAGAUACAUGCGUAUUUAGACAUAGUUGCGACACUUAAUAUGGGACGGAGGAAGUAGAAU
rfam:Brachypodium distachyon strain Bd21 chromosome 1, whole genome shotgun sequence.